UCAGCCUCUUUCAUCUGAAUCCAGGGGCAGCAAGCUGAGGGGUCUUUGGUCUGCUGGGCUGAUUAUAUAAGAACUCCUCUGGUUCAGAGCUACAGGAGUCCCUCCCAUUUAUAUUGGUGUUCCUCUUUUACCAUUUUGGCUUCUUGCUCAUACCUAUUUUCUCUUAGUUCCAAUCUCAGCGAAUGGAAUAGAUUCUACAAAGUCAAGCAGAAUAUUCCCUCUUGUCUGGCUUCUCACAAGUAUGCUAAGCACCAACCUGAUUGAAGACACAAUCACUAAACACAAGCCUGGAUUAUGGCAGUCAUCUUCUUCCCGGGGUUUCUCAAGCCAUCUGUGAAGAAGAGAGUUUUUCUUUUUGCUGUUGUUGUCUUGUU